rnacentral:rRNA from 1 species
GAUGAACGCUGGCGGCGUGCCUAAUACAUGCAAGUCGAGCGAACGGACGAGAAGCUUGCUUCUCUGAUGUUAGCGGCGGACGGGUGAGUAACACGUGGAUAACCUACCUCUAAGACUGGGAUGACUUCGGGAAACCGGAGCUAAUACCGGCUAAUAUUUUGAACCGCAUGGUUCAAAAGUGAAAGACGGUCUUGCUGUCACUUAUAGAUGGAUCCGCGCUGCAUUAGCUAGUUGGUAAGGUAACGGCUUACCAAGGCAACGAUGCAUAGCCGACCUGAGAGGGUGAUCAGCCACACUGGAACUGAGACACGGUCCAGACUCCUACGGGAGGCAGCAGUAGGGAAUCUUCCGCAAUGGGCGAAAGCCUGACGGAGCCAUGCCGCGUGAGUGAUGAAGGUCUUCGGAUCGUAAAACUCUGUUAUUAGGGAAGAACAGAUGUGUAAGUAACUGUGCUCGUCUUGACGGUACCUAAUCAGAAAGCCACGGCUAACUACGUG